rnacentral:rRNA from 1 species
AUUGAACGCUGGCGGCAGGCCUAACACAUGCAAGUCGAGCGGAUGAAGGGAGCUUGCUCCUGGAUUCAGCGGCGGACGGGUGAGUAAUGCCUAGGAAUCUGCCUGGUAGUGGGGGAUAACGUCCGGAAACGGGCGCUAAUACCGCAUACGUCCUGAGGGAGAAAGUGGGGGAUCUUCGGACCUCACGCUAUCAGAUGAGCCUAGGUCGGAUUAGCUAGUUGGUGGGGUAAAGGCCUACCAAGGCGACGAUCCGUAACUGGUCAGAGAGGAUGAUCAGUCAAACUGGAAAUGAGACACGGGUCCGGCUUCUAAGGGAGGGAGGAGGGGGGAAAUUUUGAACAAGGGGGGAAGGCUGAUUCCGGCAAGGCGGGUUGUGUAAGAAGGUCCUUGGAAUGGAAAAGCACUUUAGGUUGGAAGAAGGGGAGGAAGGUUAAUACCUGGUGGUUUUAAGGUACCCAACGAAAAAGCCACCGCCAAACUCCGG